rnacentral:rRNA from 1 species
UACGUAGGGUGCAAGCGUUUAAUCGGAAUUACUGGGCGUAAAGCGUGCGCAGGCGGUUUUGUAAGUCUGUCGUGAAAGCCCCGGGCUCAACCUGGGAAUUGCGAUGGAGACUGCAAGGCUUGAAUCUGGCAGAGGGGGGGUAGAAUUCCACGUGUAGCAGUGAAAUGCGUAGAGAUGUGGAGGAACACCGAUGGCGAAGGCAGCCCCCCUGGGUCAAGACUGACGCUGAUGCGCGAAAGCGUGGGGAGCGAUCCGG